GUGAGUUAGUGUGUGUGUCUGUCAGUGAGUGUGUGUGUUUCAGUGAAUGUGUGUGUGUCUGUCAGUGUCUGUGAGUGUGUGUGUCUGAGUGAUUGUACGUGUCUGUCAGUAAGUGUAUGCCUCUGUCAGUGAGUGUAUGCAUCUGUCAGUGAGUGUCUAGAUGAUUGUAUGUGUGUCAGAUUGUGCCAAAUCAGUGAGUGUAUGUAUGUGUAUGUCAGUGUAUCUGAUUGUGUGUGCUGGUCCUUGAGUGUGUGACUGUCAGUCAAAAUGUGUGUAAGUUAACAGGAAGGAGUGUGGCCUUGACAAGAAG